AGCGGCGGACGGGUGAGUAACACGUGGGUAACCUGCCUGUAAGACUGGGAUAACUCCGGGAAACCGGGGCUAAUACCGGAUGCUUGUUUGAACCGCAUGGUUCAAACAUAAAAGGUGGCUUCGGCUACCACUUACAGAUGGACCCGCGGCGCAUUAGCUAGUUGGUGAGGUAAUGGCUCACCAAGGCAACGAUGCGUAGCCGACCUGAGAGGGUGAUCGGCCACACUGGGACUGAGACACGGCCCAGACUCCUACGGGAGGCAGCAGUAGGGAAUCUUCCGCAAUGGACGAAAGUCUGACGGAGCAACGCCGCGUGAGUGAUGAAGGUUUUCGGAUCGUAAAGCUCUGUUGUUAGGGAAGAACAAGUACCGUUCGAAUAGGGCGGUACCUUGACGGUACCUAACCAGAAAGCCACGGCUAACUACGUGCCAGCAGCCGCGGUAAUACGUAGGUGGCAAGCGUUGUCCGGAAUUAUUGGGCGUAAAGGGCUCGCAGGCGGUUCCUUAAGUCUGAUGUGAAAGCCCCCGGCUCAACCGGGGAGGGUCAUUGGAAACUGGGGAACUUGAGUGCAGAAGAGGAGAGUGGAAUUCCACGUGUAGCGGUGAAAUGCGUAGAGAUGUGGAGGAACACCAGUGGCGAAGGCGACUCUCUGGUCUGUAACUGACGCUGAGGAGCGAAAGCGUGGGGAGCGAACAGGAUUAGAUACCCUGGUAGUCCACGCCGUAAACGAUGAGUGCUAAGUGUUAGGGGGUUUCCGCCCCUUAGUGCUGCAGCUAACGCAUUAAGCACUCCGCCUGGGGAGUACGGUCGCAAGACUGAAACUCAGGAAUUGACGGGGGCCCGCACAAGCGGUGGAGCAUGUGGUUUAAUUCGAAGCAACGCGAAGAACCUUACCAGGUCUUGACAUCCUCUGACAAUCCUAGAGAUAGGACGUCCCCUUCGGGGCAGAGUGACGGUGGUGCAUGGUUGUCGUCAGCUCGUGUCGUGAGAGUUGGGUUAAGUCCCGCAACGAGCCAACCCUUGAUCUAGCAGCAUUCAGUUGGGCACCUGGGACUGUGAAAGGAGGGGAUGACGUCAAUCUUGCCCUUAGACGGGACGUGCACAUAAGGG
rnacentral:rRNA from 1 species